AAUAAAUUAUUAUAUUUAUUUAUUGUAUGUUUGCUUACUGUGUCCUAACUUCUUGUUUUGUUUUAUUGUGUCCAAAUAGGCUGGCCAUGUGAGCUAGUUUGGUUACUGGCGCCUUACACUCUCUCACAUCCUGUCACCGGGUGAUUAGAGCUGUUACAAGGCCUUUGUUAUAAGAGGGAUCACAGGAAGUGCCUGACUACUCCGCCAUCUUGGCCCACCUCCUGCACUGCAAAGUUUUGAGGGAAAGCCCAAGGAACUGCCACUACCUCUCAGCCUGGCCAUUCCGCAGACCUGGCAGAGCCUCACAGUGAUGAAGUUGCUUUCGCUACAAACUACCCAUGACUCCAAUGGGCAGCUGAUAUUUGCUGCAUCCAGUGGCCUACAGAAGUUUUCUGGACAGAAUGUCCCUGAUAAGAGCAGCCUACUAGCAGUUGUCUGUUUUUAAGAUUUAUCAGGAGAACAAAUCACAGCCUCGAGGACACAAGGUUGCCCCAUGGAUGACCACACAGCCCAGUGGGAAUUCCCAAUUAGUGGAGUUCACUAAGGAUGCCAGGAGAACUUUGAAAAUCUACCCGAACCAAUGAGAAGGUCUGUUUCGCAGAAUCAGAAGAUGAAAGACUUUUCAUCUUUAUUAUAUUCCCCCAACAGAAGCAUUGCACUGUCCUCUUUAAAAUAACACCCAAACAUUCAAGGCAAGUUAAAAAUUAAAACUGAAUUCUCAAAACUCAGUAAUGAAGACUAAACCUCAAAUAAAACAUUCAUGUUUACAAGGCCUUGGGGGACUACCACCUACCUAUGUAACUUUACUAGAUAAAAAGACUAAAGCAUGUCUUGAAUAUAUAAACAAAAUUGUAUUUACAGACAUAUAACAGCUAUAACACCUAUCAUAAAACUUUAUAGAGAGAACUUGUUUUCAAAAGUAUAAGAAUGGUUUUAAAUAUACAUAAUAUAAUAAAUAUAAUAAUAAUUCUAUGACCAACAUUUAAAAAAUAAAACAAUGGAAUCUAUCGCCUAUAUUAAGCUAUCACUAUCCUAUGGCUUUAAUUUUACAUUUUUAAAGUUAUUCCUUCCCAAUCUAAGCCCCUACACUCCACAUUCAAAUGGUAACUAAAUAUAUUUACAAAAUGGGCCCUCCAACUUCCACCUCAGGGGAGAU